UUUUAAGUAUAUGAGGUGAUUAAUUGGAGGGCAAAUCAAGUGCCAGCAGCCGCGGUAAUACUUGUUCCAAGAGUGUGUAUGAUGAUUGAUGCAGUUAAAAAGUCCGUAGUUUAUUUUUUAAAAAGUGGAAUCCCAA
rnacentral:rRNA from 1 species